AUCCCUUUACGUCGCGAUGCCAUGAGUCUAUGCAUGCAAUCAUAUUCAAUGCAAAAAGAUGGUUCAGUGGCGAAAAGCAUCAUGAAAAAAGAAAAAAAAGGGUACUCGAUCGCUUCCAGUGAGAAAUGCUGAAAUUAGGAAGAAAACAAGCAUAUCAAAGUUAUAAGAUUAAGAUAUGUGGCGAAGGAUCCCGAAGCGGCGAAGGACCCGAUGGCAGAGGAGAAUAAAACCAAUCAUAAUGUGAGGAGGAAUCAGCCAAUAGACCUUUCCCAAAUUCGCUUGACUGGUCACUAAACAAAGAUUUCAACUCGUGGUCGAGGUAGAACUUGAUGAAUAAAAGAAUCAAGUACAGUCUCGAGUUCAAACUAUUGUUUCGUGGUCAUCCAAGCGAAUUCGGGAUAGGUCUAUUAUGUCACAACAGAGGUUCAACUACAUAAACGCAAAUUAGCCAACGUCGAGGAAAAAACUAGGCUAAGUUAAGAUUCCAGUGCAUUGUGGGACUGUUUUAGGGGACGAAAUAGACGCCAUCUUGGUAAUAUGUCUUCAAAAACAGCCCCACAAUGCACUGAAAUGCCAACUCGACAAAUGUUGCCUGCGAACUUGGGUUUGCACAAAUAGAAAUACAAGGGCAAGUAUAAAUAAAUAUUACUGUAAACAUCUAAAGCGCAUGGGUAUUGUGCUUCCCUUUGCGUUUUACGCGCGCAUUUUACAUGCGGUUGCAUUUGCAAACUUAACAAAUCACAACAAAGCCUUACUAAACAUUCGAAGGAGUUGUUUAGUUCAAGGUACUUCACCUAAAAAUUGUUUCUUCAUAUCUAAAGGAAACUCAUGGAAUACGUCCCAGAAGUUCAUAAUCACAAGAUGCCUGUCGUAAUAUUCUCCCUUGUAUUCAGCAACCUAAUAAAUAAAUAAAUAAAUAAAAAACUAUCAAUAAUCUA